rnacentral:rRNA from 1 species
GACGAACGCUGGCGGCGUGCUUAACACAUGCAAGUCGAACGAAGAGCGAUGGAAGCUUGCUUCUAUCAAUCUUAGUGGCGAACGGGUGAGUAACGCGUAAUCAACCUGCCCUUCAGAGGGGGACAACAGUUGGAAACGACUGCUAAUACCGCAUACGAUCUAAUCUCGGCAUCGAGGAUAGAUGAAAGGUGGCCUCUACAUGUAAGCUAUCACUGAAGGAGGGGAUUGCGUCUGAUUAGCUAGUUGGAGGGGUAACGGCCCACCAAGGCGAUGAUCGGUAGCCGGUCUGAGAGGAUGAACGGCCACAUUGGGACUGAAACACGGCCCAGACUCCUACGGGAGGCAGCAGUGGGGAAUCUUCCGUAAUGGACGAAAGUCUGACGGAGCAACGCCGCGUGAGUGAUGACGGCCUUCGGGUUGUAAAGCUCUGUUAAUCGGGACGAAAGGCCUUCUUGCGAAUAGUGAGAAGGAUUGACGGUACCGGAAUAGAAAGCCACGGCUAACUACGUG